CCUACGGGAGACAGCAGUAGGGAAUCUUCCACAAUGGGCGAAAGCCUGAUGGAGCAACGCCGCGUGGGUGAAGAAGGUCUUCGGAUCGUAAAACCCUGUUGUUAGAGAAGAAAGUGCGUGAGAGUAACUGUUCACGUUUCGACGGUAUCUAACCAGAAAGCCACGGCUAACUACGUGCCAGCAGCCGCGGUAAUACGUAGGUGGCAAGCGUUAUCCGGAUUUAUUGGGCGUAAAGGGAACGCAGGCGGUCUUUUAAGUCUGAUGUGAAAGCCUUCGGCUUAACCGGAGUAGUGCAUUGGAAACUGGGAGACUAGAGUGAAGAAGAGGAGAGUGGAACUCCAUGUGUAGCGGUGAAAUGCGUAGAUAUAUGGAAGAACACCAGAGGCGAAGGCGGCUCUCUGGUCUGUAACUGACGCUGAGGUUCGAAAGCGUGGGUAGCAAACAGGAUUAGAUACCCCAGUAGUC
rnacentral:rRNA from 1 species